CCUACGGGAGGCAGCAGUCGAGAAUCAUUCACAAUGGGGGAAACCCUGAUGGUGCGACGCCGCGUGGGGGAAUGAAGGUCUUCGGAUUGUAAACCCCUGUCAUGUGGGAGCAAAUUAAAAAGAUAGUACCACAAGAGGAAGAGACGGCUAACUCUGUGCCAGCAGCCGCGGUACUACAGAGGUCUCAAGCGUUGUUCGGAAUCACUGGCCGUAAAGCGUGCGUAGGCUGUUUCGUAAGUCGUGUGUGAAAGGCGCGGGCUCAACCCGCGGACGGCACAUGAUACUGCGAGACUAGAGUAAUGGAGGGGGAAGCGGAAUUCUCGGUGUAGCAGUGAAAUGCGUAGAUAUCGAGAGGAACACUCGUGGCGAAGGCGGGUUCCUGGACAUUAACUGACGCUGAGGCACGAAGGCCAGGGGAGCGAAAGGGAUUAGAUACCCUUGUAGUC
rnacentral:rRNA from 1 species